AGUGAACGCUGGCGGCGUGCUUAACACAUGCAAGUCGAACGAGAACGGAAUAUAGCUUGCUAUAUUUGUCAGCUAAGUGGCGCACGGGUGAGUAAUGUAUAGAUAACCUGCCCUUAAGAAAGGAAUAACAGUUGGAAACGACUGCUAAUGCCCUAUAUGCCUUUAAUACAUAAGUAUGCAAGGGAAACGCUUUAGUGCUUAAGGAUGGGUCUGUAUGGUAUCAGCUUGUUGGUGAGGUAAUGGCUCACCAAGGCUAUGACGCCUAACUGGUUUGAGAGGAUGAUAAGUCAGACUGGAACUGAGACACGGUCCAGAAUCCUACGGGAGGCAGCAGUGGGGAAUAUUGCACAAUGGACGAAAGUCUGAUGCAGCAACGCCGCGUGGAGGAUGACACAUUUCGGUGCGUAAACUCCUUUUAUAUAGGAAGAUAAUGACGGUACUAUAUGAAUAAGCACCGGCUAACUCCGUGCCAGCCGCCGCGGUAAUAC
rnacentral:rRNA from 1 species